rnacentral:rRNA from 1 species
UGGCGGCGUGCUUAACACAUGCAAGUCGAACGGGGAUAUACGAGCGGAAGGCUUCGGCUGGAAGGUUGUAUAUUCGAGUGGCGGACGGGUGAGUAACGCGUGAACAAUCUGUCCCAGACAGGGGGAUAACACUUGGAAACAGGUGCUAAUACCGCAUGAGACCACGGGGUCGCAUGGCCUUGGGGUAAAAGGAGCAAUCCGGUUUGGGGUGAGUUCGCGUCCGAUUAGCCAGUUGGUGAGGUAACGGCCCACCAAAGCGACGAUCGGUAGCCGAUCUGAGAGGAUGACCGGCCACAUUGGAACUGAGAGACGGUCCAAACUCCUACGGGAGGCAGCAGUGGGGAAUAUUGGGCAAUGGGCGAAAGCCUGACCCAGCAACGCCGCGUGAGUGAAGAAGGCCUUCGGGUUGUAAAGCUCUGUUAUAGGGGACGAAGGAAGUGACGGUACCCUAUAAGGAAGCCCCGGCUAACUACGUGCCAGCCGCCGC